UACGUAGGCAGCGAGCGUUGUUCGGAGUUACUGGGCGUAAAGGGUGUGUAGGCGGUUGUUUAAGUUUGGUGUGAAAUCUCCCGGCUCAACUGGGAGGGUGCGCCGAAUACUGAAUGACUAGAGUGCGGGAGAGGAAAGUGGAAUUCCUGGUGUAGCGGUGAAAUGCGUAGAUAUCGAUCCAGAACCCCGAUGCGUAGGCAGCUGACUAGGCUGGUACUGACACUGAGGCAC
rnacentral:rRNA from 1 species